rnacentral:lncRNA from 1 species
UCAGCCUCCUGAAUAGCCAGGAUUACAGGCAACAGCCACCACGCCUGGCUAAUUGUAUAUUUUUAGUAGAGACAGGGUUUCACCAUUUGGCCAGGCUGGUCUCUAACUCCUGACCUCAGGGGAUCCGCUUGCCUCGGCCUCCCAAAGUGCUGGGAUUACAGGCAUGAGCCACCGAGCCCGGCCUCCAUUUGUUUAAAGACCCCUUUAGGCCAGCUGUGGUGGCUCAUGCCUAUAAUCCCAACACUUUGCAAAGCUAAGGCAGGAGAAUUGCUUGAGCCCAGGAGGUCGAGGCUGCAGUGAACUGUGAUUGCAUUGUUGCACUCCAGCCUGGGUAACAGAGUGAAACCCCCUAUCUAUUUGAAAAAAUAAAGGCCGGGUGCGGUGGCUCACGCCUGUAAUCCCAGCACUUUGGGAGGCCGAGGCGGGUGGAUCACGAGGUCAGGAGAUUGAGACCAUCCUGGCCAACAUGGUGAAACCCGGUCUUUACUGAAAAUACAAAAAGCAGGUCAUGGUGGCGCAUGCCUGUAAUCCCUGCUACUUGGGAGGCUGAGGCAGGAGAGUGGCGUGAACCCGGGAGGCGGAGGUUGCAGUGAGCUGAGAUCGUGCCACUGCACUCCAGCCUGGGGGACAGAGAGAGACUCCAUCUCAGAAAAUAAAAAUAAAAGUAAAUAAAUAAAAAGAGCUGGGCACAGUGGCUCACGCCUGUAAUCCUAACACUUCGGAAGGCCGAGGCAGGAGGAUCACCUGAGGUCAGGAGUUCAAGACCAGCCUGGCCAACAUGGCAAAACCCUGUCUCUACUAAAAAUACAAAAAUUAGCUGGGCGUGGUGGUGCGCGCCUGUAAUCCCAGCUACUGGGGAGGCUGAGGUGGAAGAAUCACUUGAACCCGGGAGGCAGAGGUUGCAGUGAGCCAAGAUUGCACUAUUGCACUCCAGCCUGGGUGACAGAGCGAGGCUCCGUCUCAAACAUAAAAUUUAAAAAAUACAAAAUAAAAAUAAAAUAAAAUGCCUGAGGGGCUAAAGGUCACAUUUCCACCUGGUAAGACAAGUGUGUCCUCCUCCCCACCUGUGCUCCCUGGGUGUGCUGACCUGGGCAGGCCAGAGCCAGUUUUGCUGCUCCCCGCCAGUGAAAGUGAGGGACCAUGCCAGGUGCAGAGCGAGCCUGGCACCCUCUCUCCUCCCUCAGGGCCAUGACCAGACCACAUUCUUCAAACCAGCUGGGCCAGUGAUCGGCAGAUUCUGAGAGCCCCGUCUGCCAUCCCCGUGUGAUCACCGACACAGGGUGGGGGGUGAUUAAUGAUUACCCUUGCCCUUUGCUCUGAUAAAUCCUUCACCCCGAGUAAAAGACAAAGUCCCGGGCCGAGCACAGUGGCUCACACCUGUCAUCCCAGCACUUUGGGAGGCCAAGGCAGGUGGAUCACCUGAGUUUGGGAGUUUGAGAACAGCCUGACGGACAUGGAGAAACCCUGUCUCUACUAAAAAUACAAAAUUAGCUGGGUGUGGUGGCGCAUGCCUGUAAUCCUAGCUACUCGGGAGGUGGAGGCAGGAGAAUUGCUUGAACCCAGGAGGCAGAGGUUGCGGUGAGCUGAGAUCCCACCAUUGCACUCCAGCCUGGGCAACAAGAGUGAAACUCUGUCUCAAAAAAAAAAGACAAAGUGCACCCCCCGCCCCCAGUGCCUGUGUGGUGCAGCCCCGAAAACUCCCCUCCUCCCCCCUCCCCUCCUCCCUCCUCCCUCCUCCCCUCCUCCCUCCUCCCCUUCUCUGCUCCAGCCACAGGAGCCUCCUCUCUGUGCCUCCCACUCACCAGCGUGGUCCUGCCUCAAGGCCUUUGCACAGGCUGUGCCCUCUGCCUGGAACACUCUUUUUUUUUUUUUUUUUUUCAGAAAGAGUCUUGCUCUGUUGCCAGGCUGGAGUACAAUGGUGCUAUCUUGGCUCACUGCAACCUCCGCCUCCCGGGUUCAAGCGAUUCCCCUGCAUCAGCCUCCGAAGUAGCUGGGAUUACAGACACACGCCACCAUGCCCAGCUAAUUUUUUGUAUUUUAGUAGAGACGGGGUUUCACCAUGUUGGCCGAGAUGGUCUCAAUCUCCUGACCUCGUGAUUCACCCACCUCGGCCUCCCAAAGUGCUAGGAUUACAGGCGUGAGCCACCGCACCCAGCCUUUUUAUUUUUAUUUUCUUGAGAUGGAGUUUCACUCUGUCGCCCAGGCUGGAGUGCAAUGGCACCAUCUCCACUCACGGCAACCUCUGCCUCCCAGGCUCAAGUGAUUCUCUUGCCUCAGCCUCCCAAGUAGCUGGGACUACAGGCAUGUCCCACCACGCCUGGCUAAUUACUGUAUUUUUAAGUAGAGACAGUGUUUCACCAUGUUGGCCAGGCUGGUCUCGAACUCCUGACCUCAGGUCAUUCACCUGCUUUGGCCUCCCAAGGUGCUGGGGAUUACAGGUGUGAGCCACCAUGCCUGACUGACCACUGUUUUUCUUUUGGAGACAAGGUCUUUGGAGACGGGGUUUCGCUGUGUUGGCUGGGCUGGCCUCCAGCUCCGAACUGCGAGUGAUCUGCCAGCCUCGGCCUCCUGAGGUGCCGGGAUUGCAGACGGAGUCUGGUUCACUCAGUGCUCAAUGGUGCCCAGGCUGGAGUUCAGUGGCGUGAUCUCGGCUCACUACAACCUCCACCUCCCAGCCGCCUGCCUUGGCCUCCCAAAGUGCCAAGAUUGCAGCCUCUGCCCGGCCGCCACCCCGUCUGGGAAGUGAGGAGCAUCUCUGCCUGGCCGCCCAUCGUCUGGGACAUGAGGAGCCCCUCUGCCUGGCUACCCAGUCUGGAAAGUGAGGAGCGUCUCUGCCCGGCCGCCAUCCCAUCUAGGAAGUGAGGAGCGUCUCUGCCUGGCCGCCCAUCGUCUAAGAUGUGGGGAGCGCCUCUGCCCCGCCGCCCCGUCUGGGAUGUGAGGAGCGCCUCUGCCCGGCCGCGACCCCGUCUGGGAGGUGAGGAGCGUCUCUGCCCAGCCGCCCCGUCUGAGAAGUGAGGAGACCCUCCGCCCGGCAGCCACCCCGUCUGGGAAGUGAGGAGCGUCUCUGCCCGGCAGCCACCCCAUCUGGGAGGGAGGUGGGGGUCAGUCCCCACCCUGGCCAGCCGCCCCGUCCGGGAGGGAGGUGGGGGGGUCAGCCCCCCGCCCGGCCAGCCGCCCCCGUCCGGGAGGGAGGUGGGGGGGUCAGCCCCCCGCCCGGCCAGCCGCCCCGUCCGGGAGGUGAGGGGCGCCUCUGCCCGGCCGCCCCUACUGGGAAGUGAGGAGCCCCUCUGCCCAGCCACCACCCCGUCUGGGAGGUGUACCCAACAGCUCAUUGAGAACGGGCCAUGAUGACAGUGGCGGUUUUGUGGAAUAGAAAGGGGGGAAAGGCGCGGAAAGGAUUGAGAAAUCGGAUGGUUGCCAUGUCUGUGUAGAAAGAGGUAGACACGGGAGACUUUUCAUUUUGUUCUGUACUAAGAAAAAUUCUUCUGCCUUGUGAUCCUGUUGAUCAGUGACCCUACCCCCAACCCUGUGCUCUCUGAAACAUGUGCUGUGUCCACUCAGGGUUAAAUGGAUUAAGGGUGGUGCAAGAUGUGCUUUGUUAAACAGAUGCUUGAAGGCAGCAUGCUCGUUAAGAGUCAUCACCACUCCCUAAUCUCAAGUACCCAGGGACACAAACACUGCGGAAGGCCGCAGGGUCCUCUGCCUAGGAAAGCCAGAGACCUUUGUUCACUUGUUUAUCUGCUGACCCUCCCUCCACUAUUGUCCUAUGACCCUGCCAAAUCCCCCUCUGUGAGAAACACCCAAGAAUGAUCAAUAAAAAAAAAAAAAAGUGUCUCCA